UUUCCUGCGGCAUGCAUUGAAUCAUAGCUAUUCUACAGAAAUGAAAUGCACCGAAAACAAAACUCCCAUCCCACACUAGGAUUACACGUAGCCAAUAACAACCCGACCUGGAUGGUUUCCAAAAUUACUAUAUAGUUUACAUAUCGACAGUGGUCAACAUCGUACUAACAUUAGAAUGUUUCAACAUUUCAUUGCCCCCUAGUGACAUAACCUUGAUUCAAGUUUACCUCCAUGUAAUACGCAAAUAUUAUUGUUUGAACAUUCCAAAGUUUAAAGUUAUUCAGAUUCCAAACAAGCAGAGUAAAACGGACAUGACAGUGAUUAACUAGUACACACAUUCAUGUUGAGUAUGACACAAGUUCUAAAAUUAACACUACUUUCCCUUUUUGUGCUACUUAUCUUUAGAUGACAGAAAAAGAAUGAUACACUUCAAGAUAGCUUUGAUGCAUUUGUAAACAUCACUGACACGUCAUAUAUAUCAACCAAAUACAUAUAUGGAAAAUGAUCAUCCACGCGUGCAAAUCUAAAUCAUGAGACAUUUUUAACUAUAUAGGGCAAUUCACUUUUUUAAGGCAAAGACCCGACAAGGCUGGGGGCUGUUUCGAUUUUACAUAUUUCGUUCGCGCGCUGUAACAUCUUUGUUACUUGGAUAGAGUGUCCGAAUUCUUCUCGCUCGUUUACAGACCUAAUUAGACAACUGCCUGAUUGACCUCUGCGACCGGGAGUCAAAAUAAGGUCUUCAGAAAAGGACAUGAGUCGAUUCGGGGGAAUUUACAAAGACGAAAAUGUCGUCUGCUCAACGACUUGUGACAUCUACGUUCCGUCGUCCGUACCAGAAUCCUGUGCUUUGGCGCUUAAAUGUGAGCUGCAUUCGUUUGGACACUGUGACGUGUAUCUGAUUCAAACUGCCGGAGGUACGGACAUGGCAUCAGGGUCAAUUCUGGACAUACCAGGGCAAAAUAAGAUAAGGAUGGAUUUGGACCUGAACAAUAUUUUAGAAGACAACCUUCACUACACAACAAAAGACCAGUACUGGCACGAGUUUUCCCGCCGAUAUGGUUCUAUAGAACGGUGUGUGACCGUGCACUUUUGUAAGGAGGACGAGCAAUGUGAGAAGUUUUUAGAACUAUUGCAGGUCUCGUUCAGAACUCUGGAGGAGUGCAAACGACGUCGUAUCUAUCCUGAAAACACGUAUCGUCUCGUUGCAUACGAAACUACCAGGGAGAUCUGUAUUGCUAAAACACCAACCAUAAGAGAAAGCAAUUUUGAGUUGCCAUGGGAACGUGUCGGAGUUCUAGACAUUGACUUUGAAAAAUUUAAAACACCUUUAGAGGAAGAACAAGCCAUUUUUGUCCACAUAGUUUCCCAAAACUCAAAACAAAAAGCUAUUAUUUCUAAAGAUAAACCACAGGGCCACUCAUCCGCUAAUGUACUCGAUAAAAUACAGUCGUCUGACAUGAUGAAGCGGUAUCUCCAUUGCCAGAAAUGCUCCGAGUCGUUCGAUCUGGAAAAUCGGCACCCCAGACUACUGCCAUGUCUUCAUACUUUGUGUAUUCAGUGCUUGAAGCGCACAACUAUGAGCAACAAAGUCCAUUGUUCAGCUUGUGACGUCAGUUAUGACGUAUUCAACAUGGACAGAGAUUGUCCACGAGAUGACACGAGAUUUGAUUUCAUUGAGUACUGCCAGCUAAUGGACGAAAACUACAAUUUGUAUUGUAGCGUUUGUCCGGACAAAGUUGCAACACACAGAUGCAUAAAGUGUGCAGAAUGGUUGUGUUUAGACUGUCAUGAUGCACACAAAAGAGUCACGGCAACAAAAAAGCAUACUUUAUUAUCCAUAGAUGACAUGAAACUUGCAAAAACAUUAGAAGGGUUUAAACGAAAUGUGAAAUGCAAGCGUCAUUCAGAAAAUUGUGCGACGCUGUACUGCGUAACAGAAUCUUGCCAGCAAUCGAUGUGCUCCACAUGUGCUCUGAAGAAAUGCAAAGAACAGGACGUGCACAAAACGAUACGGAUCGAAAACAUUGUAGAGGAAAAACGUGAGAAAAUCAUGGCACUGAAAGACAAUGUGGAGAGAGUGGAGCGUGAUGUCACGGAUGCAAUGGAACAAAUUCAGUCCGAAAGAAAGACUAUCGAAAAUACUGCCGAUUGUGUGGUGGAAAGUAUUGAUUCAAAAUUUGAUAGCUUAUUCCAGCUAAUUGAAAAGUAUAAAGAUGAGUUAAAAACCGAGUUAAGAAAAUCGGUGAAUAUGAAGCUGGAUAUAUUAGAAAUGCAAAAACAGGAACUGGUUACUUUGAAGAAACAUAUCGUGGAGGCUGAAGAGCUGGUAGACCUCGUGAUAAGUUCUCCAAACUCUUUAGCUCUAUUACAGAUGGAACAGACAAUAAUUAAUAGACUUGACAAACUAGCAAAUGACGUUUUUGAUCAUUGUCCACGUGAGCUGUCUACUUUCGGAUUUUACGAAGACGAUUUGGCACCAAAACUCGAGCAGGUCAUCGCAGACAAUGCCCAGAUCUGGUCCUCUUCAAUAUUUCCCGACAAAUGUAUGACGAUAGUGGACGAGACUUUUUGGGAAGACGACUCUGUUAAAUUCACAGUGUUACCACAAGACUACAGAGGGAUUCCGAUCAAAACGGACUCUGUUGUGAUGAGGGCAACAAUAGAAAAUUCCGAAGGAAACACCACCGAUGGAGUUGUCACUCCCAGACCAGACGAGUAUUCCAUGAUUGACGUCACAGCAGAAGUCGUUUGUUUUGGGCGCCACAUACUAAAGAUUUACAUGGCCGAUACGCUUGUUGUAUCUGUAGUAUUUGACAGAACUCGAGGCCAUCGGAUGUUGAAAAUGCGCCUGAGACAGGUGUUGUAAAAUGUCUGGAUCUUCUGCAGGGUUGUUUUGGUCAUUCUCCAUGUCUCUGCUCCAUACAGCAAGACGGACUUAACAUUGGAGUUGAGGAUCCGCAGUUUGGUAGUAAUGCGGAUGUUCUUUGAGGCCCAUAUGUUCUUUAGCAUGGUAAACGCUGCUCGUGCCUUGCCGAUUCUUGACUUGAUGUCACGGUCUGUACCACCCUGUCUGUGCAUCACACUCCCCAGGGUUGUUGGCCCUGCGCAAACCUCUAAUAACCUCGAGGAAAGAUGGUUUAAUUUUAGAGUUUCCUUCCUAGACUGCUUUCCAUCCCUGGAUAUUGAGCACAGUCCGCCCAUUGGUUUUAUAUAAGUGAUUUCCUUCACCUAGCCUUUCCCAUAAGUGGGUAUGGCUGCAAGGCAGCAGAGGUUUGGAAUCAGAGUUUUCCUUCUCUUAGAUGAGCUGUCCUCCCAGACUGAUGAGCCCCAUCUACCCAAAGCAUUGGUUUUCAGGCGCCAAGUAACUCGCCUUCUCCCCUUCUCCUAUCAGUAGUAGCAGUUCCGCCGGGCUUGAUGCAAACCACACGAGCAGGCUAGGAGCUGGACUUGGUUGUCAGAGGCUAUUAGAGGCGCACGCCAUGAGGAGCACUUUAUAGACAAUGGGAGCUUAUCCCCAUCACCACCCCUCGGCUAUGACAACCUUUGGAACCAUUGUACAUUUUACCUGUUAAUUAUAUCAUCUUGUAUGACAUAUUGUAAUAUUUUAGGAGAGGGACUUGUAAGAGCAGGCCAAUAUUAUGAGAAAUACGGUUUUAGAUAGAACAAUGUUUUAAGUAAGAUACAAGACUCCGUCUUGGAUUGGUUCGUAUUGUAAUACAUAUUGUAAUAUUUUAGGAGAGGGACUUGUAAGAGCAGGCCAAUAUUAUGAGAAAUACGGUUUUAGAUAGAACAAUGUUUUAAGUAAGAUACAAGACUCCGUCCUGGAUUGGUUCGUCACUGUUUACUUAACUAAAUAACGUUGUACCAACCAAACGAGUUACCAUUGUAUGUGUAUAUACAACUUGACCAAAGGAUCGUCGCAAUAAAUGUUAUAAACUUUAUAGAAUAUUAUUCUUAUACAUAUGACUAUCAAGUGAAGAUAUUAUUUCAAAGUGGACCAUCAAUUGGUCAUCGUUCGUCAUAUAAAUUGUGGUCAACAAACGUAACCAUUUCUACCAUGACAAUUUAUAUGACGAUAAACAGCGGCCCAUGAUUAUGUAACUACCCCGUACCCUCGGUCUCGUUACAUGCCACGCGGCUCGUGCCAGUCCCGUGUCUGACGUACACUGUAAUAUACAAUGUAAUAGACCUUCUUCGUCAGCGGCAUCUUCGCUAGAUGAGUCAGCGGAGGCCUUGACAAAGUACGCGAAGGUCACAGCAUGCAAAGACUUUGUUUUGAAGGGCUGUGUCCAAGGUAGACUGACAAAUAGUUUCGUAAUCAUACGUCAACUUUCAUUGUUUAUUUUGCCUUAUAUUCGAUCUAAACAUGUGUUAAUAUAAAAGCUCGCUGCGCUAGUUGUUAACUAAUACUGAAAAUGGUUGUAUUUUUCCUACAGACUACAGCACAAUUUUUCCUACAGGCUACAGCACAAUUUUCCCUACAGAUGACAGCACAAUUUUUCUAACAGACUACAGCACAAUUUUUCCUACAGACUACAGCACAAUUUUUCCUACAGGCUACAGCACAAUUUUCCCUACAGAUGACAGCACAAUUUUUCUAACAGACUACAGCACAAUUUUUCCUACAGACUACAGCACAAUUUUUCUUACAGACUACAGCACAAUUUCCCCUACAGACUACAGCACAGUGUCAUAAUGAAUCAACGUUUGUGUUUUAUGCUAUAUAUGUAUUUAUUUGAAAAAUACAUUUCGUUGUAAAAAAAAAAUCAUUUUCAAGUCAAUUUUGCUCUAAUCACUAUGAAAUCAAAAGCAUUUAUUACAAAACAUCUGGACAUAAAUUUUUAUAAGGAUUUUCAAAGUUUUGAUCAACAAUUGCAAUUAUACUAAGAAUGACGAUUGGAUUAAUUAAUUUUCAGCUCCAUUUAUUAUGCUGUAUUCCUUUAUAUGUGUAGAACAAAAGCCCUCAGUAUGGUAUUCUUACAGUCAUAUGAUAUGUAUGGUAUUUAGAAUGUAAACAAUACACUGAUACCAUGCAGAAAUAGGAGAUAUUUGUGUUGUUAAUGGCUUAAAAGUAAAAUUUGACCUUGAAUAAUUUAGUUUAGCUUAAACAAUAUUUAUUUAUCUUAUCUCAAUAACAUAAAACAAACAAGCAACUUGAAUACACAAGGUAAGGAAACAAGCCAACAGGAUUAUAUAAAUCCUGAAUAAUUUGAUUAUUUAGAAAAGUGGUUGUUUUCAAUGAAUUAUGUAGUGAAGAAAAGGAAGUUGACUCAUUUAUGCUGUAAUUAAGUACAUGUAUAUUGAAUUUUACUGCAAAUAUGGAUCAAUUUGUUUCUAAAUGAAGCGUACUUCAUUUUACGAAUUUAAUUUUUUUUUAAAAAGAGUGCUAAACUGUACUGUGCCUUUAUUUGCAGUGAAACUCCGUUCUACCUUGCCACUGGGAUUAGCGCAAAGAGUUAUCUCCCUCGACUUGGGCGAGACCAAUAUCUGACAAUUGGAAUAUUAGCGUCACCAAUACAACUGCUUGGGAUUAACAUUUACUUUUGCCUAUAUUUUGUCAACGACAGAGCUAUGCUUAGAUUUUCUCGCCAUAAAUCUCAGCUUACAUGUCACGUUAAGAUGGACUAUUACACCAAAUUUUAUAUAAUGACUCAUUAUCAAAGCACUUCAUAUAUGAUUUCACCAACCUCUUAAUCAUUUCAUAUGAUUUUUUUAUGUUUUCCCAGAAUAAUAAAAAAAAAGGUGUUUGAUUGUUUGCAAAUACUGUACGAGAUUCUAAAGUCCAAAUUUUACUGUGCUUUGAUGCUUGAUGUAAUAUCUAAUAAAAGAAUGCAAGAAGACUCCAGUAGACGUUCUGAAUUGUUAAAUAAAAAUAUCUAAAGAAA